GAGUUUGAUCCUGGCUCAGGACGCACGCUGGCGUCGUGCUUAACACAUGCAAGUCGAACGGUAAGGCCCCAGCUUGCUGGGGUACACGAGUGGCGAACGGGUGAGUAACACGUGGGUGACCUGCCCCGCACUUCGGGAUAAGCCUGGGAAACUGGGUCUAAUACCGGAUAGGACCGCACCGUGAGGGUGUGGUGGAAAGUUUUUCGGUGUGGGAUGGGCCCGCGGCCUAUCAGCUUGUUGGUGGGGUAAUGGCCUACCAAGGCGGCGACGGGUAGCCGGCCUGAGAGGGUGGACGGCCACAUUGGGACUGAGACACGGCCCAGACUCCUACGGGAGGCAGCAGUGGGGAAUAUUGCACAAUGGGCGGAAGCCUGAUGCAGCGACGCCGCGUGGGGGAUGACGGCCUUCGGGUUGUAAACUCCUUUCACCAUCGACGAAGGUUUUCUGACGGUAGAUGGAGAAGAAGCACCGGCUAACUACGUGCCAGCAGCCGCGGUAAUACGUGGGGUGCGAGCGUUGUCCGGAAUUACUGGGCGUAAAGAGCUCGUAGGUGGUUUGUCGCGUCGUCUGUGAAAUUCCGGGGCUUAACUCCGGGCGUGCAGGCGAUACGGGCAUAACUUGAGUACUGUAGGGGAGACUGGAAUUCCUGGUGUAGCGGUGAAAUGCGCAGAUAUCAGGAGGAACACCGGUGGCGAAGGCGGGUCUCUGGGCAGUAACUGACGCUGAGGAGCAAAGCAUGGGUAGCGAACAGGAUUAGAUACCCUGGUAGUCCAUGCCGUAAACGGUGGGCGCUAGGUGUAGGGGUCUUCCACGACUCCUGUGCCGUAGCUAACGCAUUAAGCGCCCCGCCUGGGGAGUACGGCCGCAAGGCUAAAACUCAAAGGAAUUGACGGGGGCCCGCACAAGCGGCGGAGCAUGUGGAUUAAUUCGAUGCAACGCGAAGAACCUUACCUGGGCUUGACAUAUACGGGACCGGGCCAGAGAUGGUCCUUCCCUUGUGGCUCGUAUACGGGUGGUGCAUGGUUGUCGUCAGCUCGUGUCGUGAGAUGUUGGGUUAAGUCCCGCAACGAGCGCAACCCUUGUCUUAUGUUGCCAGCACGUAAUGGUGGGGACUCGUGAGAAACUGCCGGGGUCAACUCGGAGGAAGGUGGGGAUGACGUCAAAUCAUCAUGCCCCUUAUGUCCAGGGCUUCACACAUGCUACAAUGGUCGGUACGGUGGGUUGCGAUGCCGUGAGGUGGAGCUAAUCCCUGAAAGCCGGUCUCAGUUCGGAUCGGGGUCUGCAACUCGACCCCGUGAAGUCGGAGUCGCUAGUAAUCGCAGAUCAGCAACGCUGCGGUGAAUACGUUCCNCGGGCCUUGUACACACCGCCCGUC
rnacentral:rRNA from 1 species